GAUGAACGCUGGCGGCGUGCCUAAUACAUGCAAGUCGAGCGAAUGGAUUAAGAGCUUGCUCUUAUGAAGUUAGCGGCGGACGGGUGAGUAACACGUGGGUAACCUGCCCAUAAGACUGGGAUAACUCCGGGAAACCGGGGCUAAUACCGGAUAACAUUUUGAACCGCAUGGUUCGAAAUUGAAAGGCGGCUUCGGCUGUCACUUAUGGAUGGACCCGCGUCGCAUUAGCUAGUUGGUGAGGUAACGGCUCACCAAGGCAACGAUGCGUAGCCGACCUGAGAGGGUGAGCGGCCACCCUGAGACGGAGACACGGCCCAGACUCCUACGGGAGGUAGCAGUAGGGAAUCUUCCGCAAUGGACGAAAGUCUGACGGAGCAACGCCGCGUGAGUGAUGAAGGCUUUCGGGUCGUAAAACUCUGUUGUUAGGGAAGAACAAGUGCUAGUUGAAUAAGCUGGCACCUUGACGGUACCUAACCAGAAAGCCACGGCUAACUACGUGCCAGCCGCCGCCGUAA
rnacentral:rRNA from 1 species